rnacentral:tRNA from 1 species
GGGGCAUUAACUCAGUUGGUUCAGAGUGUCACGUCGACAACGUGGAAGUCGCUGGUUCGAAUCCUGCAUGCCCCA